rnacentral:rRNA from 1 species
UACAGAGGUGGCAAGCGUUGUUCGGAAUUACUGGGCGUAAAGGGCGCGUAGGCGGUUCGUUAAGUCCUGUGUGAAAUCCCCCGGCUCAACUGGGGAACUGCACAGGAAACUAGCGGGCUUGAGUUCGGGAGAGGGAUGCGGAAUUCCAGGUGUAGCGGUGAAAUGCGUAGAUAUCUGGAGGAACACCGGUGGCGAAGGCGGCAUCCUGGACCAACACUGACACUGAUGAGCGAAAGCCAGGGGAGCAAACGGG